AUACGGAGGGUGCAAGCGUUAAUCGGAAUUACUGGGCGUAAAGCGUGCGUAGGUGGUUUGUUAAGUCAGAUGUGAAAGCCCCGGGCUCAACCUGGGAACUGCAUUUGAAACUGGCAUACUAGAGUAUAGGAGAGGAAAGUGGAAUUUCAGGUGUAGCGGUGAAAUGCGUAGAUAUCUGAAGGAACAUCAAUGGCGAAGGCAGCUUUCUGGACUAAUUCUGACACUGAGGUACGAAAGCGUGGGUAGCAAACAGGAUUAGAAACCCUAGUAGUCC
rnacentral:rRNA from 1 species